rnacentral:rRNA from 1 species
AUUGAACGCUGGCGGCAUGCCUUACACAUGCAAGUCGAACGGUAACAGGUCUUCGGAUGCUGACGAGUGGCGAACGGGUGAGUAAUACAUCGGAACGUGCCCGAUCGUGGGGGAUAACGCAGCGAAAGCUGUGCUAAUACCGCAUACGAUCUACGGAUGAAAGCGGGGGAUCGCAAGACCUCGCGCGGACGGAGCGGCCGAUGGCAGAUUAGGUAGUUGGUGGGGAUAAAAAGCUUACCAAGCCGACGAUCUGUAGCUGGUCUGAGAGGACGACCAGCCACACUGGGACUGAGACACGGCCCAGACUCCUACGGGAGGCAGCAGUGGGGAAUUUUGGGACAAUGGGGGAAACCCUGAUCCAGCCAUGCCGCGUGCAGGAUGAAGGCCUUCGGGUUGUAAACUGCUUUUGUACGGACGAAAAGGUCCUUUCGUAAUAAAGAGGGCUCAUGACGGUACCGUAAGAAUAA